GACGAACGCUGGCGGCGUGCCUAAUACAUGCAAGUCGAACGAGAGCAACCGGUGCUUGCACUGGUCAAUCUAGUGGCGAACGGGUGAGUAACGCGUGGGUAACCUGCCCAUCAGAGGGGGAUAACAUCCGGAAACGGAUGCUAAAACCGCAUAGGUCUUCGAACCGCAUGGUUUGAAGAGGAAGAGAGGCGCAAGCUUCUGCUGAUGGAUGGACCCGCGGUGCAUUAGCUAGUUGGUGAGGUAACGGCUCACCAAGGCCGUGAUGCAUAGCCGACCUGAGAGGGUGAUCGGCCACAUUGGGACUGAGACACGGCCCAAACUCCUACGGGAGGCAGCAGUAGGGAAUCUUCCGCAAUGGACGCAAGUCUGACGGAGCAACGCCGCGUGAGUGAAGAAGGUUUUCGGAUCGUAAAACUCUGUUGUUAGAGAAGAACAAGUGCUAGAGUAACUGUUAGCGCCUUGACGGUAUCUAACCAGAAAGCCACGGCUAACUACGUG
rnacentral:rRNA from 1 species